AUGAUGGUAGCCAUUGAUCUCGCUCUGCACCUCAAUGACAGCUCUGACACCCUGCAGGCUGUAGUGAACUGUUAUGGCCUUCUUGCUCCAAUUAUCUUUAACCAGAUCCCGUCAGAACCUGUCAUAGAGGUGUUACUGAAGUGCUUUACAGUGUUGUUGGAGAUUCCAGACGUCCUCAAGCAGAAACACACUGCUUCCACCACAGAGUGCCUGCAGCACAUGGUCGCCUCUAUAACAUAUUACUUAGCAAAGAGCUUGGACUCGACUCAUUUGGCAUCAUCUGUGUUAGAGUCAGGAAAGCAGCUGCUUCAGGAGAUCACCGAAUACUCCCAGCAAUCCUUCAAAAAAACAUUAUCAGAGGAGCAAGAUGGGGUCAGGAUCAUGUUUUUUAGUUAUCCUAGAACUUUUGGGAUAGUGUGUCACAUAAUCAUAAUACUUUUUUAAUUUCCAGAAGAAAACAGCUCUCACCAAUGAGGAGCCCAGUGAACAGCAAAAGGCUUUAGAGGCCAUAAUCAUGAAAAACAUGCGAGCUGAAGCUUUAGGAAAUAAUGAUGUCACUUCCAGUAUAAAAAUAGGUACAGAAUUUUUCAAGACCUCAUAGCAGAAAUCUCACAAUAGCUGCAUUAUAUGAUAUAGUCUAACUUAAAAUGUUGUGAAUCAUUAUUAGUGUUUGUUAAUUGAUAUUUAUAAUGUAAUUUAUUCCCCUCCAGAGUUUAUUUAAAUAUGCGGCUUUCUUUUUAUCAUCAAAGCUAAAGAUAUUCUGCUUAAUAUUUUGCAGGGCCUCAUGGAUGUGACCUGUCGGGACAGGAAGACCCUGUUGUACUUUACAUGGUGAUUGAAAACAGUCCUCUCCAUCAUGCCUUUAAAGAGGGUAAUUAAUACAUAACAUACUUGAGAUAAAAUCUGAUCCACUGAAUGACAUAUAAUAUACUAAUGUACAGUAUGUGUUUGUCUGUGUAUGUUUGAUUAAGUGAUGAAGCUCAAGCAGAAGUCUCGUUUCCUGGAGUUUGUUGUGCACUUGCUUCAGAAAGCUUUGCUAGAAGAUGAGCUGGAUCUGGUUUUGGAGUGGAAGCAAAACAUCUUGAACUGGCUUAGCAGGUGUGUAUGACAGAGGUAUUUAAGGAGAAAGUGACUUAUGAGGACGUUGCCCAUGUCCCGAUUUUUCAAAAAGCUUUUAAAUCACAGGAAAUUAGUUUAAAGAAAAAUUUCUUCCAGAAAGUAAAAGUAGUAUAGUUUUCUGUGAGUGGUUA
rnacentral:lncRNA from 1 species